GAAAUGCGAUACGUAAUGUGAAUUGCAGAAUUCAGUGAAUCAUCGAAUCUUUGAACGCAUAUUGCGCCUUCUGGUAUUCCGGAAGGCAUGCUUGUUUGAGUAUCAGUAACAACCUCAGCUCCUCUCCUCUCUUUUGAGGGGGGUGGGUGUUGGAUUUGAGCAAAUCCGCCUUUGUCAAAAUUGGGUGUCACAACCGAAUUUUGGACUCUUGGGGCCGGAUGCUUGAAAUGGAGGUUCGGCCAAGACAGUAGACCUGGGCUAUAAGCAUUUCAUACUUAAUCCCGUAAAACGGAUUAUAUCCUAUGCUGCAGCCAACAUACAGGGUGUGCGAAUUUGGACCGACUGAUGCAGGAAAAAGUUGAGGAGGUUUUGCCUCUUCUUCUAAACUCGAUCUCAAAUC
rnacentral:misc_RNA from 1 species